CCCACGUGCUCUGAUGAGACGGCUGACACUGCCGCCGCACUAAUGCAAGCUCUGACUGGCAGGAGCAGGGACUGGCUUUGACCUCCUGCAGAAAAGAGCCAGAAAUACAGAGAAGGAAAAGAAAUCACCAGAUGAUCUGGUGAGACCAGAUCUCACAUCAGGAGAAGGCAUCCAGACUUGGUACAAUGCAAUUCACCCCACCCUCAUCACUCCAGGCUGUAGACCCAGCCAGCACCUAAAAAGCCCACUGGAGUUGGCAGCUCGUUCCUUCCCAGAAAGCCCCCAGAGGAAUCAUCUCCAGGCUCCUGUACUGCAGGGGGAGAAUAAGACAGGGAGACGGCUUGUCUGAACCAUCAGCGAGCUGCACAGCGCCUCUCACUGGCGCCUCUCUGCUGAGCACCCAGAUGGCCCUGGCUCUGCCAAUGCCCACCUACCCAGCAGGGCUGUGCCCUCUGCAUGCUUCCACCUGGCACAAGCCUGUCACAGCUGGCCAGCGGUAUGAUCCAGGCUGGAACCUGCCGGUUCUCGGUGACAGAGCUCAGGGAGCACUCAGAGAGACGGGGUGUGCCACUGCAGACCCCCAUGCAUCUUCUGAGUGUCUAUAUAAGUGUGCAAGAGAGUAGUAACAGAUCUGUGCAAUAUACAAUAUACUGCAAUGCACAGCAAGGUACACAAUACAACACCUAGACUAGGCCAUAGCUCCGGGACAGCGCAGGCAAGAGCUCUGUAAUAGUAGGGCGGUGUUUUAAGUACAGGGCUGGGACCUGUAACCUAUGACCACAGAUCACAAACUGGAAGGUCAGUUGAUGGCGUGAUGUGUGGUUUCUUCAAAAGCCACAAACGGAUGCCUAAUUGCUCAGUGAAGAUCACUGACUCCUGAGGAGCACAACAGCGAGAAGUCAGCCUGCACACCUACAGCAGGAACUGCAUGCCAUGGCGAGUGUGAGAUCAUAAGCACUGGUCCACACAGCAGGCCGAGGAGGCUGUUGCCAUUGUGGAGACAAACUGAUCUGCCUGACUGCUGAAAUGCCAGUCCACACGCACACACCCCUGGUGCCCACAGACCCAGUGCCAGCUGUGCUGCAUCACCCCUUAGGGCUCGGCUGUGUGCUGGUGACAUUUAAAGGGCUGGUGUCGCUCCCAGCUGUAAGCCUCUGUGCCUGAGGGCACAACUGCCCUAUCUCUGUGCCCAGGUCAGCAGCUCUGGGGCCGCCCUGCACUGCACCCCAGCCGUGCCCCUAGAUUGAGCCCCUUUCCUAACGCUGUCCACUGCUUUUCCAAACCCAAGGGCCUGCUCAGCCUGGGGUUUGUACCAAAUACACACAGAAUCGUGAAAAGUCAGCUUUUCGCACCGCGGAAGCAGAGACUUAGGGAUUAUCUCAGAGUGAACCCUGAACCCCGACAUUGCUAUUCAAAGGCUCUCUCCCAUCUGACAUCAUUCCUUUUGUUCUUCCUCAUCUGGAUGCAGCGCCAAGCCAGCCGCCAGCCGGCUCUGCCUCUCGGGCUCAGCUGCUGAGUCCUGACCGGAGCUCCAGCUCCCUCACUGCCGCUUACACUGACAUGCGCCACACCCCAGGGGGGAACCCUAACGAACCCCACCAGCUGCAGGAAGUGAGCCUGAGACACGGCGCGCUGGCGCUUGGCACUGGGGAGGCUGGUGAGGGCGAGUGAUUAGAGCAGGAUGGUCAACUGCCUGUAUCACCGCAGCGCAGCAGAACAAGAUCGUUCUGCCCCCAGGAGCGCUCACAGUCAGGGGCCACGAUUAUCAGCCGGACUGGGACUGCAGAGACAGUGCUCUCGGGGGCCGAGACAAACUUCCAAACUAUCAAGCAAAAUAAGCGGAUGAUUAGUAAGCGGGCAGUCUGAGGGCACUCAGCCAGGCAUGGUGUCGGCACAUUCGCUUGAGUUUGUAACCAUACGUCUACCUGUGCACAUCUAUCCUAAAGAAGGUGAGACAUCGUCAUUAUACACACACAGGUAGCUGCGUCCUUCAACCAAACCAUUUCAAACCUGUUGGGACAGGAGGAAAGCAGGAAGAGACACGAGGUCAGAGGCCAGAGGAGACGAACAGCACAACUCCUCCCCCUGCUCUCCUGUGCUUCACGCCACUCAGUCAGAUCUGCAGGAAAACCCCGCCUGCCCAACUCCUUCUUGGUAUUUGCAUAAGUGCAGCAUCAGUUUGGCUCAAUUACUGUUUGUUUUCAGAAGGGAAUUAUUAAUUAAACCCUCCAGCUGUCA